AACGAACGCUGGCGGCGCGCCUAACACAUGCAAGUCGAACGGCAGCACGGGAGCUUGCUCCUGGUGGCGAGUGGCGGACGGGUGAGUAAUGCAUAGGAAUCUGCCCAGUAGCGGGGGACAACUUGGGGAAACUCAAGCUAAUACCGCAUGCGCCCUACGGGGGAAAGCGGGGGACCUUCGGGCCUCGCACUAUUGGAUGAGCCUAUGUCAGAUUAGCUUGUUGGUGGGGUAACGGCCUACCAAGGCGACGAUCUGUAGCUGGUCUGAGAGGACGAUCAGCCACACUGGGACUGAGACACUGCCCAGACUCCUACGGGAGGCAGCAGUGGGGAAUAUUGCACAAUGGGCGAAAGCCUGAUGCAGCAAUGCCGCGUGUGUGAAGAAGGCCUGCGGGUUGUAAAGCACUUUCAGUAGGGAGGAAACAGUAGCCGGUUAAUAUCCGGUUGCCUUGACGUUACCUACAGAAGAAGCACCGGCUAACU
rnacentral:rRNA from 1 species